rnacentral:lncRNA from 1 species
ACGUUGCAUGUUACCAGAACUGAAAGAUAAAUCAUAAUAUGCUGUUAUUUUUUUUUCAUAAACUGUACGAUGAGCUUUUCAUGCAUAAAAGGUGAUUGCAAGCGAAAAUGCAGCAAGACAUCAACUUCACACCAUGCCACAUACUCAUACUUUAUUACCUAAUAAAUUAGAAAAGAUGCAGAAAGUGUAAUUAACAAAAGUGACAAAUAGCAGCAAAGGUGAUCAGGGAUAAAUCUCGAAGAUGAUUGCCGCCGCUGCCAGAGUAGGCCAGCCUUCGUAGGAGAGCACUGGCUGCCCACAAAAGCUUGCUGUCACAGGCCACACGUGACGGUUCUUGUAGACAUAGGCACUCAAUACCUGCACAGAAUAGGAAAAAAAGGGCAAGGGAGGAAAUGGGAAUGUCGAAAUUGGAACUUCAAUUAGCAAUAUGUGCUAAGAAGUUUGGCUCACAUUAAAAAUAAAUUUAAGCACUCCUUUUUCUUAAA